UGGAAAACAACGUUAUUGUAAAGCUAACAGUAUAUUGCAGAUGUUCACAACGUUGGAUCAGACGUCUUUAUUUUUGCAUAUUUUUUUAUAUGGAUAAGAGGAAAGCAAGGUGAAUGCUAUGGGAGAAUUAUAAGUCUUGAGACAUCAGGCUUUUAACCCUUUCAUGGAAAACUCACGUGAAUGAAGUGAAACAGGAGAGACUUCCCUAAACCAGAGAAGCUAAAGAAGGGCAGAGGGAUGACUGGAGGAUUAGAAGAUAAGUCUCAGCCUCUGUGGAAAUGACACGGUUAAGUGAACUAAUUGAUACUGAUAUUCUUUUAUUGUUCCAGUAAACGACAGACUGACAAAUCCUGCCCAAACAGCAAACCCACAUAGUAUAGUCAUAAGAUCUUUGUCAGAGUUAAGGGGCAGAUCUGCACCAAAGAUGACCUGACCAAACAAUGAAAACCCAGAGUGACUCAUCGCACUGUGUAUUUGUGAGCCUUGAGCUGACUCACUAGCAGCUUUUGAAAUAUAUAUUAGAUAGAAAAUGUCUCUUAUUAAGUUGUAGUAUCCAAUCUCUGUAUCAGAGCUGUGUAGGUGAUUCUGCUGUUCUCCUUUUGUACUUGGAAUGCUGCACAUACCGCGAAUGAAUCCUCUCCACAGCCAGUGAACACUAAGCUAAGAAAUUGGGACCUAAUUGUGGGAGUUGCUGAGCACCUCUCUUAAGAGUCCUCUCUAAUCUUACUAAUAUCAAGGCCUUGGAGAACUGGGCUGUUGGAGGGCUUAGGACUAUUUAUAUUUUGGAAUGAAUCAUCCUAUUUGUUUCCUACUGCAAUCAUCUAUAAAGAAAUGUGAUCACAGUCAUCUCCUUGACCUUGCCCCUUAAAUGCAUUCAGUGAUUUACCAUUCAGCAGUGGUGUUGGCUUCAGGCAAUUUGAAUGCCAGACCUUUCAUCCACUGCACACUGCAGCUAGAUGACUACAGCUUCAUAGGACAGAAGAUUUUUUAAAUUACAAUACUGGCUUUCACAUAUAGCUAUUUCAUUUACAAUGACAAUGGUAAAUUCUCUGGCUAGUGUCAGACAUCCAUGUGAAUCAGACAGAGGUUGAAAGAGAAAUGUUCUUGUCUGAUUUGGUUUUUUGUAGGUAAGUGUAUUUGUGAUGACAGUGUGAAUCAUUGUAAAGAAGCUAUUUUUAUAGAAUAAAAAGCUGAAAUGCAUGUGCAAUUAUGCUUGAAUUAACAGCUCUGGUGUUUAAAAGCAGCCUCUUUCAUUUUAUCCAAUGACCGCUGACUUCAAACUACUAUUUGAGGCAGAAAUGUCCAAAUCAAAUGAUGCAGAAUGUGAACUGAAUAUUACUUAACCAGCUCAUAGGUCAGAUGCAACUAAAACCAUCAAAAUGUUUUUAAAGUCUUGAUAUUACACAA